rfam:Galerina marginata CBS 339.88 GALMAscaffold_7_Cont273, whole genome shotgun sequence.
UUACCACUCUGGCCUUUUGGCUUAGAUCAAGUGUAGUAUCUGUUCUUAAUAGUUUAACCACUAUUAUGGAGGCACCGCCUCCAUUCUUGGUUAUCUUAUUUUUGCCGCCUCAGUUCCUUGGGCUCUGCUUGCACCCCUCGGACGUGAUGACCUUGCUGCUGCACUAUUGGCUUGUGUCGUCGGAGGAUU